CCUACGGGUGGCAGCAGUGAGGAAUAUUGGUCAAUGGGCGGAAGCCUGAACCAGCCAAGUCGCGUGAGGGAAUAAGGCCCUACGGGUCGUAAACCUCUUUUGCCGGGGAGCAAGGGCGGGGACGUGUCCCGUCCCGGAGAGUACCCGGAGAAAAAGCAUCGGCUACCUCCGUGCCAGCAGCCGCGGUAUUACGGGGGAUGCGAGCGUUAUCCGGAUUUAUUGGGUUUAAAGGGUGCGUAGGCGGGCUUUAAAGUCAGCGGUCAAAAUUCGGGGCUCAACCCCGUCCGGCCGUUGAAACUGGGGGCCUUGAGUGCGCGAGAAGAAGGCGGAAUGCGUGGUGUAGCGGUGAAAUGCAUAGAUAUCACGCAGAACCCCGAUUGCGAAGGCAGCCUUCCGGCGCCCUACUGACGCUGAGGCACGAAAGUGCGGGGAUCGAACAGGAUUAGAUACCCCGGUAGUC
rnacentral:rRNA from 1 species